rnacentral:rRNA from 1 species
AAUACCAUUAAUUUUCAUGAACCCCUAAUCUAUAAUGAAUGACUCCAUAUUUAUAUGGAAGACACCAUGCUAGGAUUAGUAACAAGAAUUUAUAAUUCUCCAAAAUGCAAAUAUAAACCAACAUGGAUGGACCAUUGGUAGUUACCGAACCUAAAUUCAAUGCAACAACACCUACAAGAAAACUCUGCAGUACUUACUCGUUAACCUAACACCAGCGCAUUACAGGAAAGAUUUAAAAAAAGAGAAGGAAUUCGGCAAAUGACGGCCCCGCCUGUUUACCAAAAACAUCGCCUCUUGACUUAUAAUAAGAGGUCCAGCCUGCCCAGUGAAUUUUAAACGGCCGCGGUAUCCUAACCGCGCGAAGGUAGCAUAAUCACUUGUUCUUUAAAUGGGGACUCGUAUCAACGGCAUCACGAGGGUUUUACUGUCUCCUCUUUUUGAUCAGUGAAAUUGAUCUUCCCGUGAAGAAGCGGGAAUAAAUUUAUAAGACGAGAAGACCCCAUGGAGCUUUAAACCAAAUAACAACUUAACCACUUAUCCCAUAAUAAAUUUAAGCCCUGUUAUAAGGUUUUUGGUUGGGGUGACCGCGGAGUAAAACACAUCCUCCACGACGAAAAAAACAGAAUUUUUAUUUAAGAACCACACUUCUAGAAAUUAGUAUACUAACGUUUACUGACCCGACAAUCGAUCAACGGACCAAGUUACCCUGGGGAUAACAGCGCAAUCUACUUCAAGAGCUCAUAUCGACAAGUAGGCUUACGACCUCGAUGUUGGAUCAGGGUAUCCCGGUGGUGCAGCCGCUAC